AACCUCUCAGAGUCGCACCUGGAGAGUUUCCAGUACUCUACCAGUCUUGACUAUGGGAGGGAGAGUCAAGCAGAGGCAUUUCCAUUCCUAGCUUGGGCAGUGGUUAGUGAGCAGAAGGCAAUCUGCUACAAGU